AGGCUUUGAUCCUGGCUCAGAAUCAACGCUGGCGGCGUGCCUCAGACAUGCAAGUCGUACGAUUAAAGCUCUCUUCGGAGAGUGUAUAGAGUGGCGCACGGGUGAGUAACACGUAAGUAAUCUACCUUCGAGUGGGGAAUAACUUAGGGAAACUUAAGCUAAUACCGCAUAAUGCAGCGGCACCUAAUGGUGACAGUUGUUAAAGAUUUAUCGCUUGAAGAGGAGCUUGCGGCAGAUUAGCUAGUUGGUAAGGUAAUGGCUUACCAAGGCAACGAUCUGUAUCCGACCUGAGAGGGUGGUCGGACACACUGACACUGAAUAACGGGUCAGACUCCUACGGGAGGCAGCAGUCGGGAAUUUUGGGCAAUGGGCGAAAGCCUGACCCAGCAACGCCGCGUGAAGGAUGAAGUAUUUCGGUAUGUAAACUUCGUAAGAAUGGGAAGAAUAAAUGACGGUACUCAUUUGUAAGCCCCGGCGUA
rnacentral:rRNA from 1 species